rnacentral:rRNA from 1 species
AGCGAACGCUGGCGGUAGGCCUAACACAUGCAAGUCGAACGCCAGCACAGUAAGAGCUUGCUCUUACGGGUGGCGAGUGGCGGACGGGUGAGGAAUACAUCGGAAUCUACUUUUUCGUGGGGGAUAACGUAGGGAAACUUACGCUAAUACCGCAUACGACCUACGGGUGAAAGCAGGGGAUCUUCGUACCUUGCGCGAUUGAAUGAGCCGAUGUCGGAUUAGCUAGUUGGCGGGGUAAAGGCCCACCAAGGCGACGAUCCGUAGCUGGUCUGAGAGGAUGAUCAGCCACACUGGAACUGAGACACGGUCCAGACUCCUACGGGAGGAAGCAGUGGGGAAUAUUGGACAAUGGGCGCAAGCCGAAUCCAGCCAUACCGCGUGGGUGAAGAAGGCCUUCGGGUUGUAAAGCCCUUUUGUUGGGAAAGAAGAGCAGCAGGUUAAUACCCCGCUGUUCUGACGGUACCCAAAGAAUAAGCACCGGCUAACUUCGUG